GACGAACGCUGGCGGCGUGCCUAAUACAUGCAAGUAGAACGCUGAAGAGAGGAGCUUGCUCUUCUUGGAUGAGUUGCGAACGGGUGAGUAACGCGUAGGUAACCUGCCUUGUAGCGGGGGAUAACUAUUGGAAACGAUAGCUAAUACCGCAUAACAAUGGAUGACACAUGUCAUUUAUUUGAAAGGGGCAAUUGCUCCACUACAAGAUGGACCUGCGUUGUAUUAGCUAGUAGGUGAGGUAAUGGCUCACCUAGGCGACGAUACAUAGCCGACCUGAGAGGGGGAUCGGCCAAACUGGGACUGAGACACGGCCCAGACUCCUACGGGAGGCAGCAGUAGGGAAUCUUCGGCAAUGGGGGCAACCCUGACCGAGCAACGCCGCGUGAGUGAAGAAGGUUUUCGGAUCGUAAAGCUCUGUUGUAAGUCAAGAACGGGUGUGAGAGUGGAAAGUUCACACUGUGACGGUAGCUUACCAGAAAGGGACGGCUAACUACGUG
rnacentral:rRNA from 1 species